rnacentral:rRNA from 1 species
GAUGAACGCUGGCGGCGUGCCUAAUACAUGCAAGUCGAGCGAACAGACGAGGAGCUUGCUCCUCUGACGUUAGCGGCGGACGGGUGAGUAACACGUGGAUAACCUACCUAUAAGACUGGGAUAACUUCGGGAAACCGGAGCUAAUACCGGAUAAUAUAUUGAACCGCAUGGUUCAAUAGUGAAAGACGGUUUUGCUGUCACUUAUAGAUGGAUCCGCGCCGCAUUAGCUAGUUGGUAAGGUAACGGCUUACCAAGGCGACGAUGCGUAGCCGACCUGGGAGGGGGAUCGGCCACACAGGAACUGAGACACGGUCCAGACUCCUACGGGAGGCAGCAGUAGGGAAUCUUCCGCAAUGGGCGAAAGCCUGACGGAGCAACGCCGCGUGAGUGAUGAAGGUCUUCGGAUCGUAAAACUCUGUUAUUAGGGAAGAACAAAUGUGUAAGUAACUAUGCACGUCUGGACGGUACCUAAUCAGAAAACCACGGCUAACUACGU